rnacentral:lncRNA from 1 species
UGGGUUUAUUUUCUUUUGAUUCUCUUUCUUUUUUUAGCUUUUUUUCUUCUCUUUUUUGAUGUAAGCUAAUUUGGGAUUCUUUUUCUUUUUUGUUGGUUUGAUUUUGGAUGGUUUCUAUUUGGUAUUUUUGUUUUUGGUUGGGAUUUCAUGUGUCUAGAAUGUUUAGGGGUUGGGAUUUGGUGGUUAUGGUGGUGGUGUCUCGGCAAAUGAGUGACAACAAGUGAUGCUGGUGUGGUGUUUAAAUGAUAGUAGGCUUGUGGAGGUGGCCAACGUCAAGGGCGGUGGUGAAGAAGCCAAGAGGAAUUAAGAAAAAUGGUGAAAGAACCCCCCAUUUUCUCUUUCUAUUUUUGUUGUUUAAUGGAAGGUGGCGUGUG